ACGAACGCUGGCGGCGCGCUUAACACAUGCAAGUCGUACGGGAUCCUUCGGGGUUCAGUGGCGAACGGGUGCGUAACACGUGAGUGACCUGCCCUUGUGCGGGGGAUAACCCGGGGAAACCCGGGCUAAUACCGCAUGCACUCCUCCGGAUUAGAGGCUGGAGGAGGAAAGGCGCUGUAAGGCGUUGCGCAGGGAGGGGCUCGCGGCGUAUCAGGUAGUUGGUGAGGGUAACGGCUCACCAAGCCGAUGACGCGUAGGGGGUCUGAGAGGAUGGCCCCCCACAUUGGGACUGAGAUACGGCCCAGACUCCUACGGGAGGCAGCAGUGGGGAAUCUUGCGCAAUGGCCCGAAAGGCUGACGCAGCGACGCCGCGUGCGGGAUGAAGCUUUUCGGAGUGUAAACCCGCUGUCAGGUGGGACGAAGGUCCCGGGAAGGAGGAAAUGCUCUGGGGGAUGACGGUACCACCAAAGGAAGCACCGGCUAACUUCGUGCCAGCAGCCGCGGUAAUACGAAGGGUGCGAAGCGUUGUUCGGAAUUAUUGGGCGUAAAGCGCACGUAGGCGGCCUUGUAAGUCUCACUGUGAAAGUCCGGGGCUCAACCCCGGGAUGCCAGGGGAUACUGCGAGGCUGGAGACAAGCAGAGGUUGGUAGAAUUCCGGGUGUGUGUAGCCGGUGGGAAUGGCGUAGAGAUCCGGAGGAAUACCAGAGGCGAAGGCGGCCAACUGGGCUUGUUCUGACGCUGAGGUGCGAAAAGCGUGGGGAGCGAACAGGAUUAGAUACCCUGGUAGUCCACGCCGUAAACGAUGGACACUAGAUGCCGGCGGGAACGACCCCAUCGGUGUCGAAGCUAACGCAUUAAGUGUCCCGCCUGGGGAGUACGGCCGCAAGGCUGAAACUCAAAGGAAUUGACGGGGGCCCGCACAAGCAGCGGAGCGUGUGGUUUAAUUCGACGCAACACGCAGAACCUCACCUAGACUUGACAUGCACCUGCAGGCGGUGGAAACGCCGCGGCCUUCGAGGGUGGUGCACAGAUUGCUGCAUGGCUGUCCGUCAGCUCGUGUCGUGAGAUGUUGGGUUAAGUCCCGCAACGAGCGCAACCCCUGCGGUCAGUUACUCGUGUCUGACCGGACGGCCCUUCGGGGAGGAAGGUGGGGAUGACGUCAAGUCCGCAUGGCUCGUACGUCUAGGGCCACACACACGCUACAAUGGCACGGACAGUGCGCCGCCAGCCCGCAAGGGUCAGCGAAUCGCCAAACCGUGUCCCAGUGCAGAUUGGGGGGCUGGCAACUCGCCCCCAUGAAGGCGGAGUUGCUAGUAACCGCGUAUCAGCGAUGGCGCGGUGAAUACGUACCCGGGCCUUGUACACACCGCCCGUCACGUCAUGGGAGUUGGCAAUGCUUGAAGUCCGUGGGCCAACCGCAAGGGGGCAGCGGCCGAGGGCAGGGCCAGCGACUGGGACG
rnacentral:rRNA from 1 species